GGGGGGAGCGGUCGAAGGUGGGAUUGGCGAUUGGGACGAAGUCGUAACAAGGUAGCCGUACCGGAAGGUGCGGCUGGAUCACCUCCUUU
rnacentral:rRNA from 1 species